CCUUGCAGACCGGUUGAUUCUGAUGAAGAGAAACCACAGCUAAUGAGCUGGCAAGUGUCAUCUGCUAACUUGUGCAACAACUCAUUAAGGGCAGGCCUGGGACCCUGCCCCACCCCCAUCACCACCCAGGUAAUUAAAAAGCUGCCUUCUCCUAUGAUCACACAUAAGAUCUGCAUAAGAUCUAAACAAGACACACACACCUCCCCCCCCCCUUUUUUCAGUUAUUAUGACUGUGGUUGUGCCAUGACAGGGAGAUGCACAAAUUAAACACAUGUAUACACACCAAAGCUAAACUGUCAACUCUCAAGUCUUGCAUAAAUGACAGCUAAAUUGGUUGGGGGGUUUCCAGAAAGAAGAGAAAUCAGGUGAGAAUGUGCAUUUGAUUUGAAAAUAUGCAUUAAUGUUCGCAGUUCGCACACUCCGGGCUGCCAUCAGAAUCCAGGUAGCGAGCUCCCUUGCGGCUGAUUUUCCAAUGCGCUCUUUUAAAUGGAAGUGAAAGACUCAAAGAGGAGGGGAUACCAAGCGAUGUAGGAGUUUUAAGGAGCAGGCAUUGUUGUCUCUUUUGGACUCCGCCACCUGCACUAAUUGUAGAAGCAUGAAAGGAUACGAAAAUUGCAUCCUCAGAAG